GCCUUCGGCCAUACCACCCUGAAAGCGCCCGAUCUUGUCUGAUCUCCGAAGCUAAGCAGGGACGGGCCUGGUUAGUACCUCGAUGGGAGACUGCCUGGGAAUACCAGGUGUUGUAGGCU
rnacentral:rRNA from 1 species